AUAUUGGUCAAUGGACGCAAGUCUGAACCAGCCAUGCCGCGUGAAGGAUGACGGCCUUCUGGGUUGUAAACUUCUUUUAUCUGGGAAGAAACCUACGAUUUCUAUUGUAGCCGACGGUACCAGAGGAAUAAGCACCGGCUAACUCCGUGCCAGCAGCCGCGGUAAUACGGAGGGUGCAAGCGUUAUCCGGAUUCACUGGGUUUAAAGGGUGUGUAGGCGGACUAUUAAGUCAGUGGUGAAAUCUCCGGGCUCAACCCGGAAACUGCCGUUGAUACUAUUAGUCUUGAAUUCUGUUGAGGUAGGCGGAAUACAUCAUGUAGCGGUGAAAUGCUUAGAUAUGAUGUAGAACACCGAUUGCGAAGGCAGCUUACUAAACAGCUAUUGACGCUGAGGCACGAAAGCGUGGGGAUCAAACAGG
rnacentral:rRNA from 1 species